CCUACGGGUGGCUGCAGUAAGGAAUAUUGGUCAAUGGACGGAAGUCUGAACCAGCCAUGCCGCGUGGAGGAUGAAGGUCCUCUGGAUUGUAAACUUCUUUUAUAGGGGGCGAAAAAAGGCCAUUCUUGGUCGUCUGACGGUACCCUAUGAAUAAGCACCGGCUAACUCCGUGCCAGCAGCCGCGGUAAUACGGAGGGUGCAAGCGUUAUCCGGAUUCACUGGGUUUAAAGGGAGCGUAGGCGGGCAUGUAAGUCCGUGGUGAAAGCCCUCAGCUU
rnacentral:rRNA from 1 species